rnacentral:lncRNA from 1 species
AUUCAGGACAGUUCAAGUCCAGAGGUGGCCUAGUGCAAAAAGCAGGAGUUGCAGGGCUGGCAAUCAGAGAGCAGUAAAUAGCCAGGCCCAGAGCUGGGGCAUUGUUCACAUAUGGGAUGGGUAAAUGGGUAUCCUUCUUCUCAAGGAAUUGCAUUUGUCUCACAGAUAUGUGCUCCUAAAUGCUGUACAGGCUUUUUUCUUUCUUCUUCUUCUUUUUUUUUUUCUUUUUUAAUAAUCUAAAGUUGAUCCUGGGAAUUUAAAAACAUGUCAGCACCAGCAUGGUGAUUUGGGUGAAACAACCACGGAGUGAGGUGGCGCCAGGAGGACUUUGCUGACGGUCGCAGGGGCUUGCUCCUGUUUAUCCCUCCCUGCACCACUCUCAGCAGCUCUUUACAGCGCCGUGAAGAAUUACAAUUCUGCACCACAAAAGCAGGAAACAGAGCUAUUAAUUUCCUUGCAAGUCUGCAGGGCACUUACAGAAUGGAUGCCGCCUUAAGUAAAUUUUACCCGUUUCGGGACAGGCAGCGAGAUGCAUCGCGUGGGCCGGAGGCGCCCAGCGGUACGCUGCACCGCGCCUGUGAGGGACCUUGUGGGGGCCACGCAAAAUGUGCCCAGGAAAGACACGUCCACAGAGAGCACUGCCCCUUCCAGCCCGCGCACCGGAGGCUUAUCCAUAAUUGCCUUGGAUGUCUGGCUGGAACAAUGGAGAGCAUGCCAUUAAAAUGGGGAUGGAUCGGCUGUCAGGGUUCACAGGAGGGACACCUAAUGAACAGAGCCCAGCCAUUAAUCUCCCUGAGAAGCCCUGGCUGGAGGGAGCCUCCAGGAUGGCAGAAGCCUUGGCUCAAACGCCGUUUAAAUCAGGGAUUGGCUUGUGUGACAGGCGCCGCAGGAGGGAAGCGGGGACAAGCUGGGGCAGCCUGGGGGACUACGGGGCAGAGGGCUGUGAAGGGGGCUCUGGGUGUGAUGGCAGCAGCCCCACUGCCUCUCCCGCAGAGAUGUCCCCAGAUAUCAACAUGAGCUUGCAGUGGUGAGACCUGCUGCCGCUUUUUGGCAU